UAGGUUUUAUGUGCGUCGAAUUUCAAUGCGUUAAAAUGUGUUAAAAAAUUCUAAUGUCAUAUAUAAGUUAGUGUCUUUUGUUGUACAUUUUUUUUCGUAUAUGUGUUGAAUUAAAAAUCAAAAGACAGGAUAACCACGGCGCAUUUUGACGCACGACGUACGACGACGCACCUGAAAAUUACCAUAUAUUAAUAAUCAUUUUAAAAUAUUAUAGGCUUACAUGAGUUUAUUGUUUUUACUUUUAACUUUUAAGAAGUAAUUAAGAACCCUCAAUUUUAGAUGUCGUCGCAUUAAUUUGUUUUAACUUUUAUCUUCUUAUUUCUUCCUCUCCAGCAAACCAACACCUUCACUUCCUCUUCGGAGAUCUCACAUAAACAGAAUCUUCACUUUCUCGUCGGAUAUAUUUUAGGAUUAUUUUUGUAAAAUUAAAUUGCAGAGGGUAUUUAAAUAAAAUUUAUUUGAAUUUGGAUUAUUUUAAUAAUUUUGUUGAAUUCAAAUUCGAAUUUUAGGUAUUGCUUCUGAGUUUGAGAUACCAACUUUCCAAAGCUUCAAGCUUCAAACGUUUUCUAGUUGUGUCCAAGUGUUCUUGCUUAAGGUGUCAUCAAGCUCUACACUUCUUCUUCUAAUCUUCUUGAGUGUUCAUUGCAAGGUUAAAAUAUUGUAAGCCUAAAUUUUCUCCAUCAUUUUCGUGUGUGUUCUACUUUGGUUGAAAGGGUUGUCUUAAUAUCACCAAAGUGUAAAAGAGGGUUAUAUAUUAAGCUUAACCAUAAAGUUUUAAGUUGGUUUAAUUUUAUAGAGUUUUCUGAUAAAACUAUUAGGUUGAAUCUACCUGCAAAGAUUCAAAGUUGGUUUUAUAGGGUUUUCCAGGUUAAAUUUAACUACAAAGAUUCAAAGUUGGUUUUAUAAAGUUUCCUGGUAAAACUCUUAGGUGCUAAAUCUGCCUGAAAAGACUUGAGAAAGUUGUAAGUUUAUUUUGAAAACUUGAGAGGUUCUUGAGCGUGUUAGCCUGUAAAAGCUCUGGUAGGUUCUUGAGCAUGCAUUAUAGCCUGUAAAAGCUCUGAUAGGUUUGUCAAUACCUUUAGGUAAGUGAAUUUCGUGAGGGUAUAUCACGAGACUGGACACAGGUCAGUUUGGACUGAACCAGUAUAAAUCUAUUUGUGUUCUUUUUAUUUUCGUUUUAAAUUUUUAAUAUCCUAAUAAGAUAAAAGAACUAAAGAGAUCCCUCAUCCAUUUAUCUAGUCAUAGACUGAGGUUGACUACUUUUUUACAGAUCUCUCAUCCAGUUAUCUGGUCAUUGCCUGAAGUUACUUUAAGUUAAAAUUACUAUCUAGUCAUCUGGUCAUUUAUAUUUAUAUAUUUUAACUUAUAACGUGUGCUUAUAAUAUAACAUUACCAGAUUACUGACUUUUAGCGACGGUCAGAAUCCGUCUCUAGUCAACAAAAACCGUCAUUAAUUGAUGAUUGGCGAGGAUGACUUGACCGAGCUUGCUCAAAAAGCUAAGUGAAUCGGCGACUCCCUAGGUGGAAUCAGCCAUUCGACUUGUGGGUUUUUGAACCAAGUCGUGGACAACACUCUUAGCUAGCAGAUGAUUCCCUGAAUCGUCGAUUCCUAGUAAAGUUGGUGGUUUCUGUAAUAGAAAUCCAACCAAAGCUUCGGAUGGGAAUAGGUGAUUCCUGAUCUGAAUCGACGAUUCCUUAUGACAAAGUCAGCGAUCUCUCUAGGGAGAUCGAGCCGGACUUUGCGAAGAAAAUUUCGCGAUUAUUACGGGAUAUCGGUGAUUCGAUAGUCCCACAGACGGCGCCAGCUGAUGAAGCACAAAAUCUUUUAUCAGGGGCUCGCGGAGGUGCGAGAUGAUACCAGAGGUUUUGGGGUCCACGACGCGCGCUCUACGUCAAAUCCUGUAGGAGGGGAGUAGGCGACUUAGGUGUGGGAGUGCUCUGGUUUGAAUGGAACUUGUAAUCUGCCUUGGACUGACCCCUUUAGACCCCUUUUAUAGAGUCCUCGAGGUCGUGGUGAUCCGCGGCGGGCAUCGCGCCCAGCCAUAAUGGCAUCAGUUAAAGAUGUCAUAAUGGCGUGGGUCAACAACAAGUAACGCUCCGGAAUCGGUGACUCAGGUAGGGAGUCGGCGAGUCACACGGGACGAGGUUGGAAGCCUACCAAUGUUGACUAGCUCGGUCUCGACUUGACGAUUCACCACUGGAAUCGGCAACUCGCGGGGUUAACUUGAGGACUUGACGACGACCUUUGUUCCGCAACCGUGGAGCCCUCCGGGGGUCCGACAUAAAACGACGGAACCCUAGUCCUUGUUGAAGGGCGUUGCUGGGAGUGACUGACGAAAUCAGGCAUGUCUCACAAGUAUUCCCCCCUGAAAAGAACACAAAAAACAUGCUUGUAUCGCCACACACCAUGCAUUGUUAAUGAACACAAAAACAAUGAUAAAAAUGAAAAUAACCAAUCCACAUUUCAGGCCUGAAACACUACUGAAGGAUCUACAAAUCUACCGAAGCAUCGUCGAGAAACUUGUGUACCUCACUGUUACUCGACCAGACAUCACAUUCGUCGUCAACUCACUGAGCCAGAACAUGUCAAAACCCACAAAUAGAGACAUGCAAGCAGUUCAAAGAACGAUAAGGUAUAUAAAAAAUUCACCUGGAGCAGGGUUAUACUUUUCUUCAUCCUCGACUGAAGCAAUAGCAGCAUACUCGGAUUCGGAUUGGGCCGCUUGUCCGUCAACACAGUGAUCCAUCACCGGAUACUGCGUUUACCUUGGAAAGAAUUUGAUAAGUUGGCAAGCAAAAAAGCAGCACACCAUCUCAAAAUCGUUCGCCGAGGCAGAAUACCGUGUGCUAUCCACGACGUCGUGCGAGGUUACCCAGUUGACUGCGCUCCUGGAGGAAAUAAGAAACGACAAGACCGACUCUCCAAGACAAACCCCACACCUUUUUACAGAUAGCUUUUCUGCAGCUUCUAUAGUCAGAAACCCAGACUCUCACCAACGCACAUAGAGAUAGGCAGCUAUGUUCCAACCUAAGAAAGCCUAGCUGAUACCUUUACUAAACAACAACCAUCAAUUACUUAUUCCCAAAAUUACACCUCCUCGAUAUUCAUCAACCCGACCACUCAACAACCAUCACAUAACAAUUAAAC
rnacentral:lncRNA from 1 species